GUGGGAUUAAAGCAAUGCUUUCAUAUGCAUAGAGAGACUACCAUAACAUCUCAAGAUAGUUUCCAUCUCUAAUCUUAGUUCUCCCGAGACCAGUUCUGGAGUCCACAUCUUUUCCUUUCCUGAAAACCACGAGGACAGUGAUGGCAACUGAGAGACCAGACCUGGAAUGGACCUCGUCUGCCUCACGGGGAACCACAAGGAUGGCUGCUCGAAGACCGAGGCCGAAGUCCAGCACUCCUUCCUCCCCGGCAGCUCAACAGACUGGCAUGGCCUCACAUGACUUUCUUCAUGUUACUUCCACUCCCCAAACUUCUACAUCUACAAAAAUGCCAGAGCGAGAGACUGCUACCCUGGAAUCAGGCCUGAAAAUCACUCCUCACCCCUCCAUGGAAACCAGAGAGAGCGUGAUGGCUUUUGAUGAAACUCAGCACAUUUCUUCAAGACCUGAAACAUCAGGCAUCCAAGAAAUACCAUCAGCUAUACCUGUUCUCCCGAGACCAGUUCUGGAGUCCACAUCUUUUCCUUUCCUGAAAACCACGAGGACAGUGAUGGGUAAAGAGUUAUUCCAUCCUAAUGUCUAUCAUUUCACAGUACUUAAAUAAGAAAAGCUGUAUUUCAAAAUUUAGUC
ensembl:lncRNA